rnacentral:rRNA from 1 species
CAUGCAAGUCGAACGAAGUAGCAAUACUUAGUGGCAGACGGGUGAGUAACAUGUAGGUAUCUUCCCUAUGGUGAGGAAUAACACGAGGAAACUUGUGCUAAUACCUCAUAAGUCUUUACGGAGAAAGCUUUAUGCGCCAUUGGAUGAGCCUGCACUUGAUUAGUUUGUUGGUGGGGUAAUGGCCUACCAAGACAAUGAUCAAUAGCUGAUUUGAGAGGAUGAUCAGCCACAUUGGGACUGAGACACGGCCCAAACUCCUACGGGAGGCAGCAGUAGGGAAUCUUGCACAAUGGGGGAAACCCUGAUGCAGCGAUGCCGCGUGAGUGAAGAAGGCCUUUGGGUUGUAAAGCUCUUUCGUCGGGGAAGAAAAUGACUGUACCCGAAUAAGAAGGUCCGGCUAACUUCGUGCCAGCAGCCGCGGUAAUACGAAGGGACCUAGCGUAGUUCGGAAUUACUGGGCUUAAAGAGUUCGUAGGUGGUUAAAAAAGUUGGUGGUGAAAUCCCAGAGCUUAACUCUGGAACUGCCAUCAAAACUUUUUAGCUAGAGUAUGAUAGAGGAAAGCAGAAUUUCUAGUGUAGAGGUGAAAUUCGUAGAUAUUA